ACACGUAGGGGGCAAGCGUUGUCCGGAUUUAUUGGGCGUAAAGAGCUCGUAGGCUGUUGCGUAAGUCGGAUGUGAAAACUCAGGGCUCAACCCUGAGACGCCAUCCGAUACUGCGCUGACUGGAGUCCGGUAGGGGAGCAUGGAAUUCCUGGUGUAGCGGUGAAAUGCGCAGAUAUCAGGAGGAACACCAGUGGCGAAGGCGGUGCUCUGGGCCGGAACUGACGCUGAGGAGCGAAAGCAUGGGGAGCGAACAGGAUUAGAAACCCCAGUAGUCC
rnacentral:rRNA from 1 species